GGGCGAUUAGCUCAGCUGGAAGAGCGUCCGCCUUACAAGCGGAAUGUCGGCGGUUCGAGCCCGUCAUCGCCCACCA
rnacentral:tRNA from 1 species